GUGCCUGUGGCUCAAAGAGGUAGGGCACUGGCCCCAUAUGCCAGAGGUGGUGGGUUCAAACCCAGCCCUGGCCA
rnacentral:tRNA from 1 species